rnacentral:rRNA from 1 species
AUGAUGGGCUCCUCGGGCUCCGGCAAUGGCUCCCGCCACCUCGACCCGGGCCGCGUCCACGAGCUCGUCAUGCGCCGAAAGCCGUACGACCUCCUCCACUACCUGAAUUCCGUGCCCGGGGCGUCCGAGGACCCGCACUGCCGCCAGAUCAAAUACGUCGCGGAGACUCUCCUGCUGCUCAUGCGAAGAGGUUUGGUUCCCGGAGACAAGACGCUGAUCGUGGAUUGGGCCCGAAACGCAUGGCUGAACGCGACACAAAGCAGACUUUUUUCAUCCCAGAUGGUUGGUGGUGGUCCAUCCAAUUUUACUUCAGAUGCAGGUUAUAAUAUGCAUCCACACAAUUCAAGUUCAUAUUCUGGAAGGAUGUUGACCAAUGAACCUGUCAGUAAUGACUUCAGACAUGCUGCAAUGCAUAAUCAAUUAUCUGCUUCUAACCCAAGGAAUCAUACUGCAACAUUUCCUCCACAGCAAGCAAACUCAACUGAUGUGAUGCUUGAUGGAACCCCUGCUUUUAACUCCGGAACUCAUGCUUCAGCAUAUGUUCCAUUGCGGAAUAAUUCUAAGCUUGGUCAUGAUAUGCACCCACACAAUUCAAGUUCAUAUUCUGGAAGGAUGUCGACCAACGAACCUGGGCUCAGAGAUACUGCAACGCAUAAUCAAUUAUCUGCUUCUUACUCACGGAAUCAUACUGCAACAUUUCCUCAACUGCAAUUAAACUCGAAUGAUGUGAUGCUUGAUGAAACAUCUGCCUUUAACCCUGGAACUCAUGCUUCAGCAUAUGUUCCAUCAGGGGGUUAUUAUACACUUGGUCAUAAGAUGCACCCACAAAAUUCAAAUUCAAAUUCUGGAAGGAUGUUGACUAACAAACCUGGUAGUAAUGGGCUCAGAGAUACUGCAACGCAUAAUCAAUUAUCUGCUUCUUACUCACGGAAUCAUACUGCAACAUUUCCUCAACUGCAAUUAAACUCGAAUGAUGUAAUGCUUGAUGAAACAUCUACCUUUAACCCUGGAACUCAUGCUUCAGAAUAUGUUCCAUCACGGGGUUAUUAUACACUUGGUCAUAAUAAUUCAAGUUCAUAUUCUGGAAGGAUGUUGACCAACGAACCUUGUAGUAAUGAGGUCAGAGAUGCUGCAAUGCAUAAUCAGUUAUCUGCUUCUAACUCAAGGAAUUAUACUGCAACAUUUCCUCCACUGCAGGCAAACUCAAAUGAUGUGCCGCUUGAUGAAACAUCUGGUUUUAACUCCGGAACUCAUGCUUCAGCAUAUGUUCCAUUGCGGGAUAAUCCUACACUUGCACAAGCAUUCAAUGAACUCUUGGAUAAUAUUUUUUCGCCACAAAAGCAUGGUACACGGACGGUCGGACCACUAUGGCCGUGCCACCCUGGGUCAGAGCAGAAUAGAAAAGUGCUGCCCACAGUAGAUAUCAAAGGAAAGAGACCUGCAUCGAUGAAGGUGACGACGCUGAGGUUGAACGUUGCUUCUUUGGUUGCAGAGGAUGGAAUUAAUAGUGCUGCAGGGGUGUUGAUUAGGGAUGGCAGCACGGCACAAUUCAUCAGUGCAUCAUGUUUUAGUCCGAUACUACGCAGAGAGCCAGCUCUUCUUCUUGCAGCUGCUUGUUGCAAAGGGAUCAAAAUCGCUCUGUCCUAUCAACCAGCUAGUAUCACGCUGGAGUCCCAUCUGCUCCCUCUGCUCAACCCGCUAUACGCCUCUUCGGAUCAACCGCCAGAUGUAGUACAGCUGAAAGAAUUCCUGAGCCAGGGAUACCCACAUUUCGUAGUCCGGGACAUUCCAGAAGAAUCCAAUCGUGCUGCUUGUGAGUUGGCUCUCAAUGUUUUGCACCUACGGGAGUCCUAUAUGUUCUUCAAUGAUCCGCCAGAAUGGCUUGUCCCUUACUUAGAUCAGUGA